rnacentral:lncRNA from 1 species
AGCGAGCAGCAACGAGAACAUCUCUUUCAUACUCGCUGCCAUGUACAAGGUAAGCUUUGUAGAGUUAUUAUUGAUGGUGAAAGUUGCUCGAACAUAGCCAGCACAACGAUGGUGGAAAAGCUUUGCUUAACCACUACUAAGCAUCCACGACCUUAUCAACUACAAGGGCUUAGCAACGAAAGCCAAUUUAAGGUCACUCAACAAGUGCGCAUCGCCUUUUCUAUCGGUAAGUAUCAAGACGAAGUCGUGUGCGACGUAGUACCUAUUCAAGCCUGCCAUUUGUUGCUAGGAGAACCAUGGCAACUGGAUCGAAAAGUCACUCACAAUGGUCGUACCAAUAGGUAUUCUUUCAAGCAUCAAGGAAAGAAACUCACCUUAGUGCCGCUCACUCCGGAACAAGUCCAUGAGGACCAAAUCAAACUGAAAAAUUAUGUUAAAACAAGUGAGGAAAAAGAAAAAGAGAAUGAAAAAGAGCAAAAAGAGAUUGAGAGUGAAAAAGAAAUUGAAGAAAGAAGAGAAAAUGAAUUAGAAAAAGAAACAAAAGAAAAAGACGUGGAAAGGGUAGUGAGGAAUGUUUCCACUAACCAAGUAAUGAAUUUUUCUUGUGUUGCUACUUUUCAGGUUCCCGAAAGAUCGAAAGAUAACUUUCAACUUCAAUACCUCUCAAAUGAAAGACGCUUUCAUACGAUCAACUUAGGCAAAGAUGAAAUCACACUACAUGAUCCCGAAGGUAAGCGAGGUAAGGAAAUUUUAGAAACUGAGUCCAGUGCAGAUUUGAAAAUUAUUGAUAAAACUUUUGGUGACUUAGUUCUUAAAAGAUCCCCUCAUUUUGAUCCGAUUAAUUGUUACUCUUCGAUUGUGGUUGAUAAAGUCAUUACGAAAAGAAGCGUGAUUUGUUAUCCUCUUGAUUUACCUUGUGUAAAAUCCUCGAAUUUGUCCAAAUCUGUUUUGGAGAAUAAGGUAACGAAAUUUUCCAAAUUUGUUUUCAAUUUAUAUUCGUGCCUUAAACAGUUUAUGUGGUUGUACAUGAAGUUUGAGUUCCAUUUGACAAAGGUUAACUCAACAACGGAGAUUCGACUACACUAUGCCCCCGAUGAACGAAGGUUUGUUUUAAAUGAAAAAGGUAAAAUUGACCCUUAUUCUUUUGCUUAUCAAGGGAAGAUGCUUGAAACCUUUGAAACACUUUUGUACUCCUCGGAUAGCGACAAAGAUCGUGUUGAUGAACACUUAGAUCGAAA